rnacentral:rRNA from 1 species
UACGAAGGGGGCUAGCGUUGCUCGGAAUCACUGGGCGUAAAGGGUGCGUAGGCGGGUCUUUAAGUCAGGGGUGAAAUCCUGGAGCUCAACUCCAGAACUGCCUUCGAUACUGCGGGUCUCGAGUCCGGGAGAGGUGAGUGGAAUUCCUAGUGUAGAGGUGAAAUUCGUAGAUAUCGGGAGGAACACCCGUAGCGAAGGCGGCACUUUGGGC